CGAAACUUUGACCACAAAUAUUCCGAAGUUCGUUGCGAAGUUCACAAGAUUGUUGCGAAGUUCAAAAGUUUAUAAUGAGAUUCACAAACCAGUUCAUAAACUGCGCAUUUGAUUGGCUUCUUUUAGUUCACGGGCCAAUCAGGGACUUUGUUUACAAAUUGGCUUGUGAAUUCCAAUAUGAACUUCCGAACUUCGCAACGAAGUUCGG
rnacentral:lncRNA from 1 species